rnacentral:rRNA from 1 species
GAUGAACGCUAGCUACAGGCUUAACACAUGCAAGUUGAGGGGUAGCAGGGUAGCAAUACCGCUGACGACCGGCGCACGGGUGAGUAACACGUAUCCAACCUUCCCAUAACUCGGGGAUAGCCUUUCGAAAGAAAGAUUAAUACCCGAUAGUACUUAACAAAGGCAUCUUUGAUAAGUUAAAGAUUUAUUGGUUAUGGAUGGGGAUGCGUUCCAUUAGAUAGUUGGUGAGGUAACGGCUCACCAAGUCUUCGAUGGAUAGGGGUUCUGAGAGGAAGGUCCCCCACAUUGGUACUGAGACACGGACCGAACUCCUACGGGAGGCAGCAGUGAGGAAUAUUGGUCAAUGGGCGAGAGCCUGAACCAGCCAAGUAGCGUGAAGGAUGAAGGUCCUAUGGAUUGUAAACUUCUUUUAUAGUAGAAUAAAGUGAUCCACGUGUGGAUUUUUGUAUGUAUACUAUGAAUAAGGAUCGGCUAACUCCGUGCCAGCCGCCGCCGUAA